rnacentral:lncRNA from 1 species
AGUCAAAGGGACAUGAAAACCACAACAUGAGGUUUAACUGCGAAGCCCCGCUCCCCGCCCAUCCCCUUCGCCUCUUGAGUUUCAUUUUACUGGUCCCGUCCCAACAGAUGGCUCUUCUUAAAGCAGCAUCGCCAGUGUGUAAUUCUUCUUAAUGACAGGAGAGCCAAUUUUAUUCUCUCCUGGAAAUUAAUUUCUCUUCCAUUUCUCUCUUCCCCUCCACCCCUCUCUCUGUUCCUGUGAUGAUUUCUUUCGGAAAUAAUUCCCCUUGCACGCGACCUCCACAAACCUCUGAAUCCCCGCAGAUGGAGCAAGGCUGCUCUUGCGAGGGAACGGAGGGCAGGAGGCAUGUCCUGUGCUCUGCAGUUUUGUUCCUGGAGGAGGAGGACAUGGGGACAGCUCUAGGACUAAGGGUUCAUCUUUUCAUCUAUGUUUACUUCUCAGGAGACCCCAGCCCCAUGGUCUUAAAUUUUUCAUUGAAGUAUAGUUGGUUUACAAUGUUCCUUCAGUUUCUACUGUACAGCAAAGUGACCCAGCCACACACACACACACACACACACACACACACACACACACACAUUGUUUUUUUUUUUUUUUUUCUUCAUACUAGCUACUAUGUUUUUUGCCUCCUUGGCUCUGCACAUGUGUUCUCUACAUAAUAUUAAACAGUAACCUUUGUGUCUCCCACAUUCUGGGGUGCUCCAGACACACACACCACAUUUUUCAACCACGCACACAUGCACGCACAAGAGUGGAACCCGUACUGGCUGACCCAGGGCAAAAUCAAACAACUUUUAACUGCUAAGUUGACUUUACCUUUUUUAACACCUUAAUUGAGACAUAAUUUACGUGCCAUAAAAUUCACCCAUUUUAAGUGUGUGAUUCAAUGGCUUUUUAAGUUUACUGAGUUGUAUCCUGGCUGUUUUCUUUCUUGCAAACGGAGCCACUGGAUGAACACUCUCACCCCCUGAGCUCCCUCCCCACUUGGAAAUGUGACAGUUAAAGAGCAGGUUCUGUUUCACCCCCCCCCCAAGUAGUUUUUAUUCAUUCUGCCAUUUACAACUUACUUCCUGUGUUUUGAUUCUGAGCUGCUCAGGCCUACUUCUUAGAAGCCAAGUGGAUUAGUUUUUACACUGUCAAGAAGUUUCUCUUGUGUCAGAGGAGUUUUCUGGGUUUUUUGUUUGUUUUGUUAAUCUUCAGAUCUUUGCUUCAUCUGCUGAGGUAAUGACAGAGAGACCUGAAAAUGUUACCUUUGUGAUAUGAAAGACUAUACAGAAAUAUUUGGUAUUUAGAGCUCAACUAAAAGGUUCAUAGCAUUCUGACUGUUGGGAUUGGUGGAAGAAAAAAAAAGAUAUUUAGACUAUAAAUAGGGCAUGGAGGCCUAGAACUUUUUCCUAAUAUUAAAAUCUGCAUAUAUAGAUUUCAGUUUUGACAUCUGUUUUCUCAUUUGAAAAACAGACAUGAAAAUAACCACUUUAGGAGAUUUGCCUGAGGAUCACAUGAUUCAUGUGAAAACAGCUAGAAUGCUAAUGAUUUUUUAAAUCUAUAAAUGUUCAUGGAACACCAAUCUUGAGGAACUUCACUAAUGGAAUAAGAAUACUGUUUUGGCCACGGUAUGUUAAUAAAAGCGAAGGGCCUGCUACUGGAGAGUAUGUACCAGUUUAGCCAAUCGCUCACUAAGGAGGUAAUGAGGCUUGCUGUGUGCCAGGCCCCAGGGACUGAGUGGUGGACAGGCAGGCAGAGUCAGGUGGCAGACAGGUGUCUAACGUAGAGCUGAGCAAAGAAGUACGUACGAACUGUGCAAGUGCUGGGGAAGAAACUAUUCUGGGGUAUGUGUGUGUGUUUGAAGCAAUUUAAGAGAAUGCAUUUUUUGCUAGUAAAUGUAUAUACCUAUAGGCCGAGAAAAAUUUCCUGGAACAAUUCAUGAGGAAUUGGUGACGAGGGUUUCUUUUUGUGACAGGAACCAGAAAGGGAGAGAGAGGGACAUCUUCUGCUUUUGAUUCUAUAACUUUUCCGUACAUUUUGAAGUUUCUAACUAUAGGCACAUAUUUUUAUUAUGUUUUUUAAUAAGUUUAUUUAUUUAUUAUUUUGUCUUUUGAGGGUCGCACUCGCAGUCUAUGGAAUUUCCCAGGCCAGGGGUUGAAUUGGAGCUGUAGCUGCCGGUCUACGCCACAGCCACGCCAGAUCUGAGCCACAUCUGUGACCUACACCACAGCUCAUGGCAACGCCGAAUCCUUAACCCACUGUGCAAGGCCAGGGAUCAAACCUGGGUCUUCAUGAAUACUAGUCAGGCUUGUUACCCCUGAGCCAUGAUGGGAACUCUCUAUUAUUUGUUUUCUUAUUUAAAUAUCAGCAGGGCUUUUCUGAUCAAUAAGCUGAGAAUCCAUUUUUAUCUUCUUCAUUAGAUUUUAUUAAAAAAAAACCUGUUAAAGUGAAUAAAUGAUUAACUGCCUGAAAUAUUUAACUUGCCAUGCCAAGCCAAUUAAAUAUAAUGUUACACUUGAAAAGACAAAGGUCAUUUAAAGAGUGCAAGAAUUCCUCAACCCACACCAAACUGCUACCAGCCUGCUAGUGCCCACAAAGUUUGCCCGGACAAUAACCCUUUUAUUCAACAGAUAUCUGAGUGCCUACUGUGUACCAGGCAUUGUUCUGAGUACCAGUAGAUAAAACAAAGCUCACAGGGAGUCACAGACUAGAUUCAAGUUGGAGGAAACACAAUUAGUAAGUAGACAUUAUAUACAAACAUGUAACAAGUGCUGCAUUGAAAAAUUAAAGAAGGGCUGGGUGGCGAGUGACCGGUGGAGAUGGAGGGUGUGCACAGAACACAUGCCACAGUCGCAUCACUGCAGAGAAAGGUCAGGAGGCCUGAGGAGGCAGAGACUUCAGCAGUGACCUGGAUGGAGGCAAGGAAGGGAUGAGCCACACCAAGAGCUGAAGGACGGACCAGGAAAGGCCCUGAAAUGGGAGAGCUGGAAACCAUUAUCGGUCUUAAGGAACAGGAUCCUGGGACGCGUUGUGUGCAGUCUGCUCUGAGACGCUGACCAGCAGGAGCGGCACUCUGACAGGUAAGGGCAUCUCGGCGCUACCUAAAACAGCUAACAAGCCCUAGCUCACCGUCUCAUCAUACUUGGGAACACACUUCUCUACCAGCCUCACUUGUGCAAACAAAAGGCUGGCUGUAAGUUAUCUGAGUUCUUUGAUUCAUUCUCUUUCCCCUUCUCUUAGAUUUUCAAUUCUAACUCUAUGACUUCUGACUGAAAUAAUGAAUUGUAACCAGUGACUUUCAUGUCACUGACUGAGCACUAAGUUACUCUUCCUCCUUCAAACAAGAUUCUGGGGGUGGGUUGAUCCAGAACGGUGGCUCUCAACCAGAGGCAAUCCAAACCUGGCCAGUGACGAUCCCCCCUUCUAGGGGACAUGUGAUGUGGCAGCAGGGGUGCUGCUGGCAUGUGGUGGUCCAGGCCAGGGAAGCUGAUAAACACCCCACAAGGCACAACAAUCCCAAUGUCAGCAGUGCCACGAGAUGAGACCCUCAGCCUUGAGAAACUGGAAAAGAUGAAGAGAGGAGAAAAUGAGCAGAGGGCACUGCCUGCUUAUGUCCAUGUGCUUCUUUUCCACCUCAGAAACAACACAGCAUCUUUUGUCGUCUUUGAUGCUGCCUCUCCCGUAUUGAUUACGCUUUAUUAUUCCUGAAGACUCGAGUGUGUGACGUAAGUAACCCUAUGUCGGACCCAAGCCCAGUAGGAUAAACGAAAACGGGAGGGCAAAUUGGAACAUGUACCGUAACAACGAGAGCAUUCUUUCUAUGACUUGAAAAAGUCUUCAGAUCCUUGGUUUAAUUUAAUCAGCAAUACGUUCAUCUGCAUAUGGCAUUUAGCAGCAAAGUAAACUUUUUUUCCUGAGUCGUUUGUUUCCAAAUCAGUGGGAACAAAGGAUAUCCCAGUUCCAUUCAAGCAGUUUCAAUGAUUCUCAAACAAACGUGGGAGUCAUAGCUGAGCCAUUUAAAAUAUACAGUGAUGAGAAAGCAUACUUGGUAAUCUUGUCAACAUUCCUUUAAGGAGAAUAUCCAAGUGUCCUUUUACUAUAAUAACGCUUUGUACUUUGAAAUGUUCAGAUGUCAAUAAAAUAGAAUUGAACACAACAGCCUAGAAGAAUGCCGUUUCCAAGUUUUCUAGUAAUGGUGCUGUGAAAACAGUAUGUAUUUUUCAGUUUAACACUCCGAAAAUCAAAUUUCCUCACCCCAAGAUUGGCUCCAUUUACACAAAAGCACUUUGGACCCAUAUUUAACCAACCAUCAAAAGUGAUUCAAAAGAAGGCUAAUUGAACACUGAGGUUUUUGAAGCUCUCAAAUGAUGACCCAGGUUUUUUCUUGAAAACACUCACAGCGGCAGCUUGGCAGGAAGCAGGAAUGAAACCUGCCCUCCAAACUGGAAGAAAAACUUCCAAUAACAAACUGCGAGGUUUGAGAUCACUGCAUGUUAUAUUAUUCAUUAUUCAAAUGGCCUCUAGCCCUAUUACACAGCCUUUUCUCUGGCGUCUGAGCUGCCCCAAGAAAUGUACUUUAGUAAGACCGAGCCCCCCUUUCAGAGGAAAGGAGAACCUCCUUAUCUCCGCGUUCUGCCUCCCUGUCUCUGCGUUCUAUCUGUUCUAUCUCUGUUCCAUCUGCGUGUUUUGCAAUCUCCUCAGUGUUCCAAAGGCCAAUGAAAUCUCUCUCCCACAGGGGCCAGCGAUGGCAGACCUCAACCAAAUAAAAGUUAUGCAAAGGCAAGCUGGAAAAUCUGCACAGGGGAGAUUUCACCAAGAGGAGAGGGGCCUGAUAUUUUCCGUCUAAAUCCUUAGGCCUCACUCCAGCCUACAAAGACAAGUGGCAGGAAACUUAACAGCGAUAAUCAAAUGAGCUCAGCCAGCCUCGGGAUGGUUCUUGUAAGAACUGUGUGUGUGGAGAAGGGAUGCAGGCUUUCUGCCCAGGAGAACCUAGAGAGAAAAAACUGCUCUUCCCAAAAUCCCUGAAGUCUGCUGCCAGGGGCUCAGUACAUGCCUGACCAAAAAGAGAAAACUGCCCACCUAACCGGUUCGGCUGUUUCCUGGCUACUACGGACAGAAGCAGACAGAACCUUAUCAUUUCAGUUAUGUCUAACUUGGACAUUAUUUUCAAGUAAAUAUUGGUAAUUUCAAGGCUCUUUCCUUGCCGUGUGACCUGGCGUGACGGACAAUGCUGUCUCCGAGGAAGCUGACUCCAUAGCAACAAGCCAGGGAAGCCUGCACCUUCCACCCAGGGGGCCUCCCACGAGCAUUUUGGAGACUCGGGACGUUGCAGUUAUCUUGUCAGGGGGUGGCUGAGGGAAGAAGCUUCUUCCUUUGCCCUCUGGGCCCCUCCCAGCGGUCUGGGUUUCUGUGGAUCACGCUGUGCUUCUCAAUGAAUCCAGCGCUGGGCAUUUUUCUCUUUUCAUUCAGGAAGUGGUGAGCUGAGCCCUGAGAUUCUUUCUGCUCCGAUGAUAUAAACAAAUUGUAGAGGAAGUCAAGUCAAAUUUUCCCUUGCUGGUUUUGUUCUCCCAACUAGCAAUUCAGAAAACAGAGCCAACUUUUUUUUUUUUUUUUUGGAUGCCUUUUAAAGAUUGCUGUUAACUGGAAAGACAAGAAACCCUUGUAGUUUUUUUAAAAAAAAAAAAAUACUAAAUUUAUUU